rnacentral:misc_RNA from 1 species
GAUGAAGAACGCAGCGAAAUGCGAUAAGUAAUGUGAAUUGCAGAAUUCAGUGAAUCAUCGAAUCUUUGAACGCACAUUGCGCCAAUUAGUAGUCUAGUGGGCAUGCCUGUUCGAGCGUCAUUUCAACCCUUAAGCCUAGCUUAGUAUUGGGAAUCGACUUUACUGUCGUUCCUCAAAUUCAACGGCGGAUUUAUAGCAAUCUCUGAACGUAGUAAUUUUUUUCCUCGUUUUUGAAAUACUAUAAACCUCAGCCGCUAAACCCCCAAUUUUUCUAUGGUUGACCUCGGAUCAGGUAGGAAUACCCGCUGAACUUAAGCAUAUCAAUAAGCGGAGGA